rnacentral:siRNA from 1 species
CGCCGAACCAACCUGUCACCAU